rnacentral:lncRNA from 1 species
GUUGGGGGCCUGGGGGCCUUAGUCUCCACUGUACCACAGUGAGGGGGGCUUCCUGCUUUCUUGGUCUCUUGGGCCCCAGCUCUGAGCUGUUCCUAUCCAAAGGAGGGGAAAACCAGGGCCAUAAUGGCUCCAGUCCAAUCAGCCUCAUGUUCUUGGAUCUGCAGCUCAGUGGCUUAGUUAGGAUAAGACUUCAAGUUCUCCAGGCUUCACUCUCCCCUUCCGUGGACUGGGCUGAACCAUUCUGUAGCAUUCCACAUCUUCCCUGAAGCAGUCCCAAGAGCAGGCCCAGCCCAAGAAUUUCUAUAUACAGGGAGAGAGAUGCUACCUACCCAAGGCUUACUUCAUUCUUCCCUUUCAGUGAGCCCCAGGGCCUUGGCUCCAUGCUGCUGUGACUUGUUAUUAUUAUCAUUAUGACUUGUUAAUCUCUCCCUAUCCUUUUGCCAGUUUUCAAAGUAUUUCAUACCCAUGUGCUCAGUUAAUCUUCUCGACAGGACAGUUCUACCUCAGUUUUACACGUGGGAAACACAGGCAAUUAAGGACACACGGCAAGUAAGAAUAGAAUCAGGAGCAGUUGUCUGGUUCCCAGUCCACAUGGCCUCCAAAACCUUAUACCCCACAACUUUAUCUCUAGACUUCCAAAUGCAUUCCAUAGGGUCUGGCCAUAGCGUCUCUUGCUUAGAAUGAAAUAAGUGUCUCAAGCAAGUUGAGCCCAGAAAGGGAAUGAUGCAGAAUUUUGAACACCCAGGUCUCCUUCCUCAAACUCCUAUAGCCUACAACUGUCGAAGCAGAUACGGAGAUUAGACACUAGGUGUCAGCAGCAGCCCACAGGAAGACUCUGCUGGAGCUUUAGGGUACCCUCAACACAAUUUGGAGAGGCUCCAUGGGAAAAAAAAAAAACAGACCCCAAAUGAUAGAGAGACUUUUUAGUGCUUGGUUUCCAGUGAUGAUCAAGACUUUUCAGUGAAUUUUACCCAUUGUUUCUGGGGAGGGGGCACCUGAAGCAGUCUGUCCUGGGAAGGACAGGCUUAGAGAAUUCUAACUUCUAUUCCCCUCUCAUUCAUAUGGCCAUGGAUCCUAUUUUUUUUUCCUUUGUACUUCAUCACUUAACCCCCUUCUUCCUAUGUUUUUCCGCAAUUCCCAUUUGUUCCAAUUUACCUGGGGCUCCCUACCUACUGGAAACUAUUCUGUAUUACCCAACCCAAAAUUUGAUUCAGACUAAGUGGGGUCUUUACAACGUGAGAUAUAGCCUAUGGGUAAGGAUUGUAGGGUGGUAGUGGGAUUAAAGAAGGGGAGAUCUGGGCUUCUUCUACCUCCCCUCCUAACCCCUUGCUAAAGUCUGUCCUGUGCAGGACCAACUAGGGCAAGAUGCCAAAACCUCUAUAACUUCACACCAAUUUUGGAACUGUGAAGGAACUUAAUAACUUUAACCUCAGCUUUUAUUAAUAUCUGAACUUACAAUACUUCCCAUUCAAUGAAUAAAUCUUUGAACCCAAAGCCUA